UACGGGGGGAGCAAGCGUUGUUCGGAUUUACUGGGCGUAAAGGGCGCGUAGGCGGUCAGCACAAGUCAGUUGUGAAAUCUCCGGGCUUAACUCGGAAAGGUCACUGAUACUGUGCGACUAGAGUGCGGAAGGGGCAAGCUGGAAUUCUUGGUGUAGCGGUGAAAUGACGUAGAUAUCAAGAGGAACACCUGAGGUGAAGACGGGUUGCUGGGCUGACACUGACGCUGAGUGCGCGAAAGCCAGGGGAGCAAACGGG
rnacentral:rRNA from 1 species